GUACUUACUCUCUGAUGUUUUGCUGCACUUGGAGAAUUAAUUAAUUUGUGUAGUACUUCAGCCAAGUUUUGGCCUAUGCAUGCGGGGGUCUAGCAGGAAUCCAGCAGAGCUUCCUCAGUUGCUAAGAAGACUUCAAACCUG